rnacentral:lncRNA from 1 species
UCAGAUAAAAGCAUAUAGAAUCUAUCUAAAUCAUAAAUUAUUUUGAACCGGCUACUUAAUCUUUCAAAAUUUUUAUUUUACUAUCCUACGUUUCAAUUUGUUUGAUUAGUUAAUCAACGGCACUUUGAAAUAAAAAUUCGAGUGCGUUGUUUAACUUUAUAAAUUUAAUUAGUAUAUCUUAUACAAUUCUCUCAACUUUCAUUUUAUUAAAAUAAGUAAUUAGCUUAAAUUUUGUACAUUUU